rnacentral:rRNA from 1 species
GAUGAACGCUAGCUACAGGCUUAACACAUGCAAGUCGAGGGGCAGCGGGGAUCUAGCUUGCUAGAUUUGCCGGCGACCGGCGCACGGGUGAGUAACACGUAUCCAACCUGGCCCAUACUCGGGUAUAGCCUCUCGAAAGGGAGAUUAAUCCCCGAUGUUGUUGUUUCACCGCAUGGUGUUGCAACCAAAGAAUUUCGGUAUGGGAUGGGGAUGCGUUCCAUUAGCUUGUUGGCGGGGUAACGGCCCACCAAGGCGACGAUGGAUAGGGGGUCUGAGAGGAAGGUCCCCCACACUGGAACUGGGACACGGUCCAGACUCCGACGGGAGGCAGCAGUGAGGAAUAUUGGUCAAGGGGCGAGAGCCUGAACCAGCCGAGUAGCGUGAAGGAUGACUGCCCUACGGGUUGUAAACUUCUUUUGUUUGGGAAUAAAGUUCAGCACGUGUGCUGUUUUGUAUGUACCAUUCGAAUAAGCAUCGGCUAAUUCCGUGCCAGCCGCCGCCGUAACAC